rnacentral:rRNA from 1 species
GACAGAGGGUGCAACCGUUGUUCGGAAUUACUGGGCGUAAAGCGCGUGUAGGCUGCUUGGAAAGUCGGGUGUGAAAGCCCUGAGCUCAACUCAGGAAGUGCACUCGAAACUUCCGAGCUCGAGUCCUGGAGAGGGUGGCGGAAUUCUCGGUGUAGAGGUGAAAUUCGUAGAUAUCGAGAGGAACACCGGUGGCGAAGGCGGCUACCUGGACAGUGACUGACGCUGAGACGCGAAAGCGUGGGGAGCAAACAGG